UACGGGGGGAGCAAGCGUUGUUCGGAUUUACUGGGCGUAAAGGGCGCGUAGGCGGUCAGCACAAGUCAGUUGUGAAAUCUCCGGGCUUAACUCGGAAAGGUCAACUGAUACUGUGCGACUAGAGUGCAGAAGGGGCAACUGGAAUUCUCGGUGUAGCGGUGAAAUGCGUAGAUAUCGAGAGGAACACCUGCGGCGAAGGCGGGUUGCUGGGCCGGCACUGACGCUGAUGCGCGAAAGCCAGGGGAGCGAACGGG
rnacentral:rRNA from 1 species